GUUAGAGGCAUAACUUUCUUUUUACUCCUUGGUACUUUUACUCUUGUGAUCUAGCCCACCAUUUAAGCCUGCAAGACUUAGUCACACACGCUAACAGCCAGCUCAGAGUAGAUAAUGAUUUUAGAUCAAAACUCUGUGCAGACCAAAAAAGCAUGGACUGAAAUGGGAGUUAUCAGGACCAAGCCAACUUCAGAUGCCUGAAUGAAAUAGCAAAAAUGGAUUCUCCUCUCUUCUGUGGGCUGCCUACGUGUUACAGUAUCAGUGUGCAUUUCCCACUGUGGACUUCCAGCUUGUUACAGAAUCAGUGUGCACUGGACACUCAAAUACAUGUGAGAUCUCUGCCUCUUAUUUUCAGCUACCCCCAAGUCUCCUAACCGAAGCACCUCCUCCCUGAUGAGGGUGAUCACUGGCUAUAAGCCUGGAGCUCCUAUACCCAGGGUCUGGGAAGCUGCUCUUUCCGGAAGGGUGGUAGAGACCCUGGGAACCAGACCAGCCGGGCUCACAAGUAUGAAGAGAAUGUCGGGAGAGGAAGUGGUGGCUCUGAGUCAGCAUGAGUCAUCUGGUUCCAGUGACAAUGAAGACUGAGGCAAGCUGAGCAUAUCUUGGGAUCUUCACAGCACAGUGGCUGGGAAGGCAGACCGUCUAUCAGCUUCUCCCUGAAUAACUGGGAGCUGAAACAGGAAGCCCCAUGACACAGUUGAUCGAAAAUGACACAGACACAGAAAAAUCAGGACGUGCCCCCAGCAGCACCCCUACCUGCUGCCUGCUGAUCGAAGCUGGGAGGCCCGUGAAGGGUUUCCACCAGGAAUGAACUCUAC
ensembl:lncRNA